UGAGCGGUAAGUUUGUCGUAAUAGGCGGAGGAACAUGUAUUUAACACGUGAUCAAAUGGCGCGACCAUCCGCAGUUCCUCGUGGCUUACUUCAUUUGAAAGAAGCUGUCACCGUAGUUGUUGGGUUUUCUGCGCUAUAAAGUGAAAUCGUUACAAAAAGAAAAUGACCGACUUACCAGUUGAUUCGAAAUAUUUGCCCGAAUUAAUGGCCGAGAAAGAUAGCAUUGACCCUUCGUUUGUUCAUGCUGUUCGUUUAAUAUCUUCUGAAAUUGAAAAGAUUAAAAACCCACCCCCACCUGCCAAACCAUCAAACAAUUCCAAUGACCCGAAAAUGUUCAAUAUUUACGACGACAAAUACCCCAAAGUGGAAUGCAAUAUUCGAAUCCCUGUUAACGAGUUUCCUCGUGUCAAUUUUAUCGGGCGAUUAAUCGGACCUGGGGGUUCAACGUUAAAGGGAAUCCAGGAAGUCACAAAUACUAGAAUCGCGAUUCUAGGCAAAGGGUCAUUACGGGAUAAGAAAAAGGCUGAAGAAUUAGCAAACAGCAGCGAUGUAAAAUACAACCAUCUAAAAUAUCCUCUCCAUGUAAGGAUUAGUGCAAUAGGAUCUGUUGAUCAGGCUUACAUGAGCAUCGGGCGAGCAUGUUCCGAGGUUUCCAAACUCCUCAUGGUAGAAGAUGAGGAUGAAUACAUCGCGGCUGGAGCAGCAGCCAUGUUGCAAGCAAGAGGAGGAGCAGUUGGAGUUGGAGGAGGGAUGCGCGGAGCAGGAAGAGGAGCUCCACGUGGUGUUCGAGGUGGAGGAAGAGGGGCUCCUCGUGGAUCACCAUCUGGAAGUAGAGGAUCAUCAAGGGGUGGAAGAGGAGCACGGGGUGGAACACGAGGUGGCAUGAGAGGUGCAGCCAGGGGUGCGGUAGCUUCAAGAUUUCCAAAGGCACAAAUUCAAGCUGCUGAUUCUUAUGUUAAUCAGGCAUUAGAAUACGCAGAGGCUGGUUAUGACGUAUACAGUGAAUAUGCUGAAGCUGCUGCUUAUGAUCCGUAUGGUCAAGCAACUGAAGAAGCAUAUAAUGAAUCAUAUGCUGAUGGUGCGUAUGGUGUAACAGAUUCCUACGAUGCAUAUACCUUUGCUGAUUAUGAAUCUUAUGGAAAUGGGGCAGAGUCGUACGUGCCAGCCAAACCAGCAUACCGGGGUAAAAUACGGGGGGGUGCUCGUGGUAGAGGGGCAGGAAAGCCAUAUUGAGACUUGCCUUGAUGAUUCAGGUUUUCUCAACCAAGCAGCAAAACAUACAAAAUUAAUGCUAGCAGUUCUGUAGAGAAAGAAACUGCCCAUCCAUGCAAGUGAGAAAGUUCAAGUUCAAGCUUAUUGGGACUCGAAGGUAACUGUAAUUUAAAAAACUAAAAAUAAAAAAUAACCUGUGUGUUCUUCUGUCUAAUUUUUAAAAAAAAUUGUGUUCUAUUAUUUUCUGCAUCAUCUGAUAACCAAAAACUUGUUUCAUUAAGUUUUUUGGGCACAUUGAUGCCAUAAAGAGUGAGAGUGACAAAUUAGGGGGCAUUUUAUGUUUCCUCAUAUCGUCUUUCAUACAUUUAAUUAAUUUGUCUCCUUUUAUGCUAAUAUGGGUUUAAAAGUUAAAUUGUAGCUGUUUAAUCUAGAAACUAAUUUCAAAUUUACGCUGAUUUUUAAAGUAAUAUUAGAAAUGACAUUUUCUGAUUUCCAGAUUUGAGCGGCAGAAACCACAAGAAACAAGUGGUAUAAUAUUGAAGUUUGAUUUUGGACAGAGAAUCGAAAUCUAGAAUGAUAGCAGAGCUAGAAAUGAGAAACUUCAAAGCAAGUUUAAUAUAUGGAUAGAUGCAAUCUGUCUCCAUUUUGAUGUCACUAUAAUUAAAAGACAGAAUCAGUUCUUUAAGUGAAAUUUAUUUAUGAAAACACUUGAAAAAUGUUUUCCUUCUUUAGUUCAAAGAUUUUCUGUCACGUGAUGGUGAUUUCUCUUUGUUAAAGAUAUGAGCAUCUGUGUUCGCAGGAUUGUUUGAAAUAAAAAUGUUUUAUAAUCUUCAAAGGUAAAACUUCUCGGUGAUAAAAGAAAUACACUGUACAUGAAAAGCCAAUUUUAUUGACAUUAAAAUGUGCAACUUUUUGUUACUGAAUAAAAUUGCGCAAAAUA